CCCCCUGUCUUCCUCCUGCCCUCGGGGUGCGGGAAACCGCCCAGGAUUUCGGAUCUGGGGAAGAGCUCCUACACACAGGUCCUCCCCACUCAGCUUUACUCUGGUCCCACCAGGAGAGGUGUCUGAGGUCGUCCAGGAUUCUGCGAAGUCCUCACUCUGGGUUGGCGACAGAACCAGAACUAGAUGGAGGCAUCACUCAUCCUGUGACCUUGAACUGUCCUCAGCCAAGCUCUUUAGUCUGGCUGGCCUGGAACUCCCAAUGUGUGCCUUUGAUCACACAGAGACCCUCUUGCCUCUGCCAUGCGGCCCACUGUGCCUGGAUCCACUUUUUUAAAAUUGUUUUUAAAGACUGUCCCUUUGAGAACCUGGAGCCCAGAUUUGGCUAAACUCGGCAGCCAGCAAACCUCACAUUUCUCUGAGUCCCACCACUCCAAUCCCCCCACCCCGCUAAUGCUGGUUUCAGGAGCUUGUCAUGGCACCAGGCAGGUAUCAUGGUGACUCAAACUCAAGUCCUGUGUGCUCAGCAAACACUGCAUCUGCAGAGCGACCGACACCCAGCACCCGGUACAGUUUCUGGCAAAUGGUGCCUCCUGCAGGCCAGUUUCUGAAACUACAGUCAACGAGGCUAUCCAAGGAGCUGUCCCAGAAGGGCCCAGAAGAGGGUUGCAUGAUCUCAGAGCUUCUUCAGAGGGGAUGAAGAACAAAGACGAACAUCCACCACAGGUGGAUACAAGGGUAUGGACUCACCAUGC